UACGGAGGGGGGCUAGCGUUGUUCGGAAUUACUGGGCGUAAAGCGCACGUAGGCGGCUUUGCAAGUUAGAGGUGAAAGCCCGGGGCUCAACUCCGGAAUUGCCUUUAAAACUGCAUCGCUAGAAUUGUGGAGAGGUAAGUGGAAUUCCGAGUGUAGAGGUGAAAUUCGUAGAUAUUCGGAAGAACACCAGUGGCGAAGGCGGACUUACUGGACACA
rnacentral:rRNA from 1 species